UGGGGAAUCUUGCGCAAUGGGCGAAAGCCUGACGCAGCAACGCCGCGUGAGCGAAGAAGGCCUUCGGGUUGUAAAGCUCUGUCAGGAGGGACGAAGCCACUCGGGUGAAUAGCCCAGAGGGUGACGGUACCUCCAGAGGAAGCCCCGGCUAACUACGUGCCAGCAGCCGCGGUAAUACGUAGGGGGCGAGCGUUGUCCGGAAUCAUUGGGCGUAAAGCGCGUGUAGGCGGCUUGGCAAGUCCGGUGUGAAAGCUCGAGGCUCAACCUCGAGUCUGCACGGGAAACUGCCGUGCUAGAGUCCGGGAGAGGGGACGGGAAUUCCUGGUGCAGCGGUGAAAUGCGCAGAUGUCAAGAAGAACACCGGUGGCGAAGGCGGGUCUCUGGGACGGUACUGACGCUGAGACGCGAAAGCGUGGGGAGCAAACAG
rnacentral:rRNA from 1 species